GAGUUUGAUCAUUGGCUCAGGAUGAACGCUAGCUACAGGCUUAACACAUGCAAGUCGAGGGGCAGCGAUGGUCUUAGCUUGCUAAGGCCGAUGGCGACCGGCGCACGGGUGAGUAACGCGUAUCCAACCUGCCUUACACUCUUGGACAGCCUUCUGAAAGGGAGAUUAAUACAAGAUGUUAUCAUGAGUAAGACAUUUUCGCAUUGAUUAAAGGUUUACCGGUGUAAGAUGGGAUGCGUUCCAUUAGAUAGUAGGCGGGGUAACGGCCCACCUAGUCUUCGAUGGAUAGGGGUUCUGAGAGGAAGGUCCCCCACAUUGGAACUGAGACACGGUCCAAACUCCUACGGGAGGCAGCA
rnacentral:rRNA from 1 species